GAAAGGAUUCGUCAAGGUAAAGCUUCUGCAGAUAGAAGUAGCAGAUGAACCAGUUAAAUGUUCUAGUAGCAGCCUCAUUGACCCUCUCUGUGUCGUACAUCUGAAGGAAACAGCAGACAAUAUAGGUAAAGGCGUCCCUGUGGUACAACUGAAGGAGACAAUAUAUCCGGAAUGGAACUCGUGUUUUGACGUACCGCUGGUCCGAGGUUCUUUUGUACAUAUACUGGUGAUGGACAA